AGUGGCUGCAGCCUCUUGCAGACAGUGGAGGCUCAGGCUAAGCCAGCAAGACCAAGAGGAGCACGGAGAGCUGGCAAGACGCUGGCCCGAUGAUAUCGCCUGAGCCGUGAAUCCUCCUGGCCAACGCCAGGGCUUCCUCAGGCUUUGUCAUUGCAGGGACACUUCCCUCCCUCCCUCCUUCUCUGUCUCUCUCCCCACUGCCUCUCUUUCUAGCUUAAGCCAAUUUGAGAUGGAUUUUCUGUCACUUGCUGUUGAAGGAGUCCUGGUCCAGCCCAGGUGGAUUUCGUGCAAAUGAAACCCACAUAAUGCAAGUCUGUGUGGAAGUGAUCGUCUGCGAUCGGCGCGUGCCCUUCGCCUUAUGAACAGGAGCCAUGGGUGACACGAGCGCCUCGGCUGGGCCGCCGGGGUCCGUCUGAGGUCCAUCUGUCUCCAGGUCCCAGUGAAUCCACAUUGCAGCAGGAAGCCACAGGGCAGGAACCUCAGCUUUCCGGUUGGCUUCCAUGAACCAAGGACAAGCUUGCUUAAAGUUGUGCCCGGAGAGGCCGGGAGAGCUGCUUCAAAGGCAAAGACCACCCAGUGGGAGUGCAUUCCCCUGGUGCUCACCCAAGGGUCCCACUCCCCCUGAGACAUUUCCUUCCCAGGGCACAGACCCCAGGCCUGGACAGAGCCGGGCACGUGUGAAACGGGAAGAUGUCAGCUGGGGAACCGGCCGCAGCUCCCAACCUUGAUGAGGAAAGAAACCUGGUAGCUGUUCCUGCAGAAAAGCCACAUGGCUCGCCGCCUAUCUCCACGAUGGUACCUGGCUUCUCCCAUCCUCACCGUCCACGUCUACUCCCUUCCCAUCCCAGACCCGAGACGCAGAAGGCUUUAGACAGAGCAGCUUCAUCAGGAAUCUGGACUGGGCUGAGGUACCUGCUCCCAGCUCCUCAAAGUGCCAUCCGGUAAAUCUGCAUCUAUUAGAGCUGACAGCCAGGCUGCUCAGGCUUAAACAAUUAAUAUGCAUGAGGAGUCCGCAAACACAGAGCAGGGGCAUGUUACUGUGCUGGGAUGUAGGACGGCUUCUCGGAUAAGGUCAUUCAUUUUUAUGAUUCUGCUUAAUUUGGAUUUGCCAGUCUUCCUUUCAUUAUCCCAUGGGCCAGUCUUAAUAAUCAAGACUAUGUUAUGUGCUUUGUGGCAUAAUUAAAGCCACUGCCUAAUUAGACAAGCAUCUACCGUCUGACAAAGAGAAAUCAGUAAUGCAGCUAAUGGAGAAAGUGGUGAGGAGUUGGGUUUGAAAGUGGAUGGAAUCACCUGUUGGUGCCAGAACACACACACACAUGCACACAUGUCCACACAUGCACACACAUCUGUGGACACACACACACAUGUACAUACAUCUCACACACACAGAUACAUGCACACAUGUACACACGCAGAUACAUGCGCAUGUACAGGCAUGCACACAUACACACACACACACACUCUCCUACAUUCUAUGUGUGUUUCCGAUGACCAGCCCUGUCAAACCAAACCAAUCAGCAGUGCAGUUUCUGCCGGGAUAGUUGGCCUCUGAGGGGUUAAAGCCAUGCAGGGAAUCCAAGUCUGAGUUUCAAGUGGGCCGGGCUGAGCUUGCUUUUGUUUACUUCUUUAAUCAUCCAUGGACGCUUGCUGGGGCCUGCAAUGGCCAGGCACAUCCACCCACGUGGGACAAGAUGCAGCUUCCGUGGCUGCUUGCAGGGGAUGGAAGACUCCCACAGACGCCUGCUAACAUCACAUGCCCAAGUGUCACCGCGAUGCCACGUCCAGUCUGAGCCAUUCCUCGCCCAUGUCCCUGUCCUUGUUGCAUAGCCGGCCUCCAGCGUGUGGCUUCGUGCAGCGACCAGACCGUCGUGUGACUUUCUGCCACGGUUGCUGGGGUUGGCACUGGGGCAGACCUGCUGGGGGGUUCUGGGUUGCAGCUGGAGCGCUGGGACUGGCAGGACGCCUCUCUUCGUGCUGCCCCAGGGCCCAUCCACGUCGACUCCCGGCGUGAAGCGUGUGGGCUGCCUCACAGCCUGGCAGCUCCAGGACUGCUGGGGGCUCCCCCCGCGGCCCCGGCUCUGCUGGCAGCACUGGGCCAGAAGCAACUCACCUUCACACAGCCGCCCUGAAGGCACGUAGGUUCCGGAAGGGAACCUUGGGAAAUGGGAUUCGUGCCAUACUCAUGGGAGUCCCAAGCUCCCUCGCCCAUUUCACUCCAUGAGGAUAGGAGGGGACAGCUGCUGACGACCUGGCAGAGACCCUGCGCCAGGCCCCACCCCACCGGCACCCUGAUCUUGCACUUCCGGCCUCGAGAAUGCCCCCGCCCGGGAGGGUCUGAGCCAGGCAGCCUCCCCGGGAGCCGGUGCUGACACGGCCAGAGAAACCAUUCCAGACCCGGACCCCACUGUCCCCAACACCUGCGGGCCAGUGACUCAGGGCGGUGGAGAGAGCCAAGAGGAAGUGGAGGCUGAGUGGCCCUCCCCGGGGCUGGGGCCCGCCGUCUGGUUGUGUCUCCAGCCGCUGGUUUAGGGGAAUCGGGAGGGCUCACUUAAGCAUCCCUUCCCUGCGUGCUCUUCCAUCGCGGGACAGAAGACCCGACUGCUGCCAGCACCAAAGGGUGUUCCCACGGCACACGCCGCUUGGGCUCGGGCAGGCAGGGACCCCUCCUCGUGCCUCGGGAGCCUGGAGCUGUCGGCCCUGCAGCUGAGGACCACAGGAGGUCAGGGACAUGCAAGCUCAGUGCCCGAAGUCACUUCUAGAGUGCGAUUCGGUGUCCCUGAAGGUCCCAACUCUGCCCUGACACAUUACAGAAAAUGUCGCUGCCCCCUGGUGUGGAUGCUGGCCCGCCCCCGGGGAGGCUUCUGCCCCAUCACCCAGCCCAGCCCAUCCCAUCCCAACAGGACUCAGCCUCCAGUGGCUACCAUCAGACCCCACGGCAUGGUGACUGUCACUGCAGAGGGCUAGAGAGGGCCGCGUGUGGGACGGCAGGGGCCGACGGGGGGCUCUGCAUUCCCCAGUAACCCAGGUUUCUGCUGGGGCUGCUCCCCAGCUGCUCUGCUCCCCAGCUCCCUACAACGCGGAUUUAUUCUUAUUUCCCACAGGGAAGGCCUAACAAGGCUUGACCAAUCAGUGAAGGGCAUUCCCCAGACUGCUGGCUGUGACUGGGUCCCAGAUAAGCACGUGACCCACUAUGGGCCAAUGAAAGUCGCCUGAGACUUUUGCUUGCAUGGUUGCUGGGACGGUCCAAAGUCCUCAGUGGGGACGGCUGGCUGCAGCUGUCAGACUUGGAGCGUGAGGACAGAGCUGGGCCGGUUCCUCCCUGGGAUCUCCCCUCCCCGAGCACAGGCUCUGCUCUGCCCAGCCCCAUGCUGUCCCCUGUGCGACCGCUGUGGGCUUCCUGCCAGGCUCCUGCACCCUCCGGCUUCUGUUGGGUUCAGUUCUGGGAGGCAGCCCCGGAGUCUGGAGGGUGGAAGGAGUGAGGGGCAUCCCCUGUCCCCUCCCCACAGUCUUGGCAGUGGUUUCUUCUCUCCAGAGUUACUGUCCCUACCCCCUGUCCUCUCUCUGCAGCUCCAGCUCUUGCUGGGCGCCUGUGAUUCUCACCCCUGUCCCUUCAGGCCGUGGGGAGAAGAACAUCCCAGUGCGGUCACUUCCUGGAUCCAAUUCCUGGAUGCCCAGUGUCCGCCGGGUCUCCUGGAUUCACCGUGGUCACUGCCUGGAUGCCCAGUGUCCACUGGGUCUCCUGGAUCCAAUUCCUGGAUGCCCAGUGUCCGCCAGGUCUCCUGGAUUCACUGUGGUCCCUGCCUGGAUGCCCAGUGUCCUCCAGGUCUCCUGGAUUCACUUCCUGAAUGCCCAGUGUCUGCUAGGUCUCCUGGAUCCACUUCCUGGAUGCCCAGUGUCUGCCAAAUCUCCUGAAUUCACUUCCUGGAUGCCCAGUGUCCACCAGGUCUCCUGGAUUCUGCCUGUGUCCACGUGAGGGCACCAUCAAUUUCCUGCAAGGAUCCUGACAGUCAAGGUACAUCUAACCUGAGAGCAGGCAGGGGCUGGACUAUCCCCUAGAUCAAGCCAUGCCUGAAGCCCCACCUUUCAGUUGCCUGAGUCAACAGAUUCCCUUUUUGGGUUGAGCCAUUUCUAAUUGGAUUUUAUGUCUUACUGACUGAACUAUCAGGAUGGCCAGCAGUAAGGGGUUUCGUUUUGGAGGAUGAGGGACACAAAUGUCUCUUCUCCAAGGUGAGGAGAUGCCUGAAGGACAGGAGACACUCACAGGAGGCCCUGGAGACAGAUGUGCCUCACAGGCAUUCCUGAGGACCUGUGGCCUGGCAGCACAGAGACUGGGUGAAAACAGAACCUUGUGAUCUGCAAGUUCUGCCGCUGCCCUGUCUGUGUCUGUGAAGCAAAGUGUCCAGAAGGGGCCCGCGUGGAAGCUUCUGAGAGCGGUUAGGGGAACGGGGCCCCACGUCCUCCCCGGAGGGCUGGAGACAGAGGCAGGCCGUGCCCCCAGCCCAGAGUAGGGAGGAGGCUGGCAGGCGGCAGCUGUGGAAAGGAGGCGGAGCCCCCAGACUCCUGAGCCAGCAGAGGAAGGAGUGGGACAGAGCCCACCCCAGAGGGAGACAAGACCCCGGGGAAGAGACCCCUCAGGGUGGCCCCCCAGCCCCUCCCAGGCUCAGCUUUCAGCCUGCACCCCCGUCUGGUCCCUCAGAAUGACUGAGGUUUCCACUCUUUUUCUGCCAAAUCUCUAGACUCCACGUCCCCGCUCUGCCACCUACUCUCUGUGGGAUCUGAAUAAAGAGACUUAACCUUUCCUGCCUCAGUUUCCCCAUAUGUAAAAUGGGACAAUAAGAGGCUCUGCCUCUAAGCCUUGCUGCAGGGAUUAAGGGAGCGAUGCGUGGUCUGCAGCCAGCCCCCUGCAGCCAGGCCCCUGCAGCCAGCCCCCUGCAGCCAGCCGCCUGCAGCCAGUGGUUCUUCAGUGGCCCCAGGGAAAGGCCAGGCACUGUGGAGACGCUUCCCAGCCACACUCGCUGAGCCGCGCCGGGAUAGGGUCUCUCCACCCAAGCUCCUUUUAGGAAAGUGGUUCCUGGGAAGAUGGAUAAGACCCAGCGUCCACCGGGGUCUGCGUUCUAAGUGGUACGCUUGUGAGGGCUGUUGCACGUGAACAAUUCCCUGUGAUACAUUCCGCAGGCACCGGGGAAGCUCCAGGCUGGGCGUGGAGCCUCAGAGACUGUGGGCAGGGCUCGUGAGGGGCAGGCGAGGGGCCAGGAGGCCUCCUUCGCAUUCGAGCUUCUCAGCCACGUGUGCAGGGGUGGGCUGGGUGUGGGAGUGUGUGUGUCACUGGUGUCAAAGCCUCCUCACUUUUUUUGGGAAAGAAAUGGGAUAUAAAUACAUGUGUAAAUAUCUAUAUAAAAUUCACAUUCUCU
rnacentral:lncRNA from 1 species